GAAGAGAAGAACAUAAGGGGCAGUGAAGCGAAGGGGUGAUGUUGAAAAGCCCAGGCUCUGAGGGAGCUGGAGGAGGAAGACAAGGAACACAGCGGCCUGAAAAGGGAGGAAGAAGAAAGUGGAGGCAUCUGGCCAGCAGGUGUGCGCUCUGUGGGUUCACCCAGGUCCUGACACAGACAGCUAUCUGAGGGGCUGCAAGGGAGGAAAAGCAGGGGGCGAAGUCAGCAAGGCUGAAAGAGAAAAAAACCCGCCAAAGCCCACAGCACUCCAGACUCGGAUGGGAACUAAACCACUUCUCCAUCCUGCUGACCAUAAACUGUGUGACCUGUCAGCCUGCAGAAUCACAUGAGCCAAUGAACUCCUCAGCAAAAACCUUGAAUCUCAUUGGUUUUGUUUCUCCGGAGAUCCUGGAUGUAUCUGCUGCUAUGCGUAUGUAUAUGUAUAUGCUGCUAUGUGCUAUCAUCUACAGGGGCGUAACGCCUCUACUGGUCUCAGGAGACAAGACCUUCAAGUAACACAUGGUACCCUUGUAGGUUUUCUUCGGUUACUGCUAACCCUCAAAGCAAACAGUCUAAGAAGAGCUUUCUUUCUCAGAAAAGCUAUCCUUAGUAUCUCUUAGA
rnacentral:lncRNA from 1 species